GACGAACGCUGGCGGCGUGCUUAACACAUGCAAGUCGAACGGAAAGGCCCUGCUUUUGUGGGGUGCUCGAGUGGCGAACGGGGGAGUAACACGUGAGUAACCUGUCCUUGACUUUGGGAUAACUUCUGGAAACUGGGGCUAAUAUCGGAUAGGAGCUCCUGCUGCAUGGUGGGGGUUGGAAAGUUUCGGCGGUUGGGGAUGGACUCGCGGCUUAUCAGCUUGUUGGUGGGGUAGUGGCUUACCAAGGCUUUGACGGGUAGCCGGCCUGAGAGGGUGACCGGGCCCAAUGGGACUGAGGUAGGGCCCAGACUGCUACGGGAGGCAGCGGUGGAGAACAUUGCACAAUAGGCCGAAGCCUGAUGGAGCGACGCCGCGUGCGGAAUGACGGCCUUCGGGUUGUAAACCGCUUUCGAAUGUGACGAACAGUGAGUGACGGUAAUGAGUAAAAAAGCACCGGCUAACUACGUG
rnacentral:rRNA from 1 species